GCAGUCUCAUGGUCCGUGGCUAGAUCUGAGCCAAUGGUUAGCUGUAGUUAGGUUUAGGCGAUUGAUACCAACAAAGAACAAAAGAGAUAGCUUGGCGGACUUUAAACACAAGACUUCAUGAACGAGGCCUAACUUUUACACACGGGCUACCCAGAAGACUGCUAACGGUGACCUCACCAAAUACGUUGCUCUUGAACAAACCAAUGAGGCCCUCCGCUCACGAUUGGAGGAGUUAGACGGACUUGUUAAUCAGCAAAAACAUACAGAACUGCGAUUGGCUGAAAGAGAUGAGGAACUAACAAAACUAAAGAAAGAAUUAGAUGAGCAGCGAAACGUUUGUGGUGACUUGG